rnacentral:rRNA from 1 species
UCGGGAAUAUUGCGCAAUGGAGGAAACUCUGACGCAGUGACGCCGCGUAUAGGAAGAAGGUUUUAGGAUUGUAAACUAUUUUAGACAGGGAAGAAAAAUGACAGUACCUGUAGAAUAAGCUCCGGCUAACUACGUGCCAGCAGCCGCGGUAAUACGUAGGGAGCAAGCGUUAUCCGGAAUUAUUGGGUGUAAAGGGUGCGUAGACGGGAAUACAAGUUGGUUGUGAAAUCCCUCGGCUCAACCGAGGAACUGCAACCAAAACUAUAUUUCUUGAGUGCAGGAGAGGAAAGCGGAAUUCCUAGUGUAGCGGUGAAAUGCGUAGAUAUUAGGAGGAACACCAGUGGCGAAGGCGGCUUUCUGGACUGUAACUGACGUUGAGGCACGAAAGUGUGGGGAGCAAACAGGAUUAGAUACC